GUGGGUAGAGCUCAGUGGUAAAGCACAUGUCUAGCAUGCGCGAGGUCCUGGGUUCAAUCCCCAGUACCUCCA
rnacentral:tRNA from 1 species